CCUACGGGGGGCUGCAGUCUAGAGGCUUCGGCAAUGGGGGAAACCCUGACCGAGCGACGCCGCGUGCGGGAUGAAGGGCUUCGGCCUGUAAACCGCUUUUGCCAGGGGCGCAGUACCUGGCGAAUAAGCCCCGGCUAACUCCGUGCCAGCAGCCGCGGUAAGACGGAGGGGGCAAGCGUUGUUCGGAAUUAUUGGGCGUAAAGGGCUCGUAGGCGGACCGGUAAGUCUGGCGUGAAAUCUCACCACUCAACGGGGAGGGGCCGUCGGAUACUGCUGGUCUGGAGUACGGUAGAGGACCAUGGAAUUCCAGGUGUAGCGGUGGAAUGCGUAGAGAUCUGGAAGAACACCGGUGGCGAAGGCGGUGGUCUGGGCGUACUGACGCUGAGGAGCGAAAGCUAGGGGAGCGAACGGGAUUAGAUACCCUUGUAGUC
rnacentral:rRNA from 1 species